rnacentral:rRNA from 1 species
AGAGUUUGAUCAUGGCUCAGAUUGAACGCUGGCGGCAUGCCUUACACAUGCAAGUCGAACGCGAAAGGGGGCAACCCUGAGUAGAGUGGCGAACGGGUGAGCAAUACAUCGGAACAUUUCCUGUAGCGGGGGACAACCCCGAGAAAUCGGGGCUAAUACCGCAUACGAUCUACGGAUGAAAGUGGGGGACCGCAAGGCCCCACACUAUAGGAGUGGCCGAUGUCGGAUUAGCUAGUUGGUGAGGUAAUGGCCCACCAAGGCGACGAUCCGUAGCUGGUUUGAGAGAACGACCAGCCACACUGGGACUGAGACACGGCCCAGACUCCUACGGGAGGCAGCAGUGGGGAAUUUUGGACAAUGGGCGAAAGCCUGAUCCAGCCAUGCCGCGUGAGUGAAGAAGGCCUUCGGGUUGUAAAGCUCUUUCAGCGGGGACGAAAUAGCGCGGGGUAACAUCCCGCGUCGAUGACGGUACCCGAAGAAGAAGGACCGGCUAACUACGUGCCAGCAGCCGCGGUAAUACGUAGGGUCCAAGCGUUAAUCGGAAUUACUGGGCGUAAAGCGUGCGUAGGCGGUUUCGCAAGUCUGAUGUGAAAUCCCCGGGCUUAACCUGGGAACUGCGUUGGAAACUACGAAGCUAGAGUGCGGCAGAGGGGGGUGGAAUUCCAGGUGUAGCAGUGAAAUGCGUAGAGAUCUGGAGGAACACCGAUGGCGAAGGCAGCCCCCUGGGCUAGCACUGACGCUGAUACACGAAAGCGUGGGGAGCAAACAGGAUUAGAUACCCUUGUAGUCC